ACGCAUUAAGUUCCCCGCCUGGGGAGUACGGCCGCAAGGCUAAAACUCAAAGGAAUUGACGGGGACCCGCACAAGCGGCGGAGCAUGCGGAUUAAUUCGAUGCAACGCGAAGAACCUUACCAAGGCUUGACAUACACGAGAACGGGCCAGAAAUGGUCAACUCUUUGGACACUCGUGAACAGGUGGUGCAUGGUUGUCGUCAGCUCGUGUCGUGAGAUGUUGGGUUAAGUCCCGCAACGAGCGCAACCCUCGUUCUAUGUUGCCAGCACGUAAUGGUGGGAACUCAUGGGAUACUGCCGGGGUCAACUCGGAGGAAGGUGGGGAUGACGUCAAAUCAUCAUGCCCCUUAUGUCUUGGGCUUCACGCAUGCUACAAUGGCCGGUACAAAGGGCUGCAAUACCGCGAGGUGGAGCGAAUCCCAAAAAGCCGGUCCCAGUUCGGAUUGAGGUCUGCAACUCGACCUCAUGAAGUCGGAGUCGCUAGUAAUCGCAGAUCAGCAACGCUGCGGUGAAUACGUUCCCGGGUCUUGUACACACCGCCCGUCAAGUCAUGAAAGUCGGUAA
rnacentral:rRNA from 1 species